GACGUAGGGCGCGAGCGUUUGUCCGGAUUUAUUGGGCGUAAAGAGCUCGUAGGCGGCUUGUCGCGUCGUCCGUGAAAACCUGCGGCUCAACUGCAGGCUGGCGGUCGAUACGGGCGAGGCUGGGAGUUCGGUAGGGGAGACUGGAAUUCCUGGUGUAGCGGUGAAAUGCGCAGAUAUCAGGAGGAACACCGGCGGCGAAGGCGGCGACCUGGGUCGAGACUGACGCUGGAGGCGACGAAAGCCGUGGGGAGCAAACAGG
rnacentral:rRNA from 1 species